rnacentral:rRNA from 1 species
UACGUAGGGUGCAAGCGUUAAUCGGAAUUACUGGGCGUAAAGCGUGCGCAGGCGGUUUUGUAAGUCAGAUGUGAAAUCCCCGGGCUUAACCUGGGAACUGCGUUUGAAACUACAAGGCUAGAGUGUGGCAGAGGGGGGUGGAAUUCCACGUGUAGCAGUGAAAUGCGUAGAGAUGUGGAGGAAUACCGAUGGCGAAGGCAGCCCCCUGGGACAUGACUGACGCUCAUGCACGAAAGCGUGGGGAGCAAACAGG